rnacentral:misc_RNA from 1 species
AUUUAAGGCAACCAGACCAUUCCUUAUUGAGAUACUGCACACGAGUCAGCUUCAAAUAUCAAAUAUUACUUUAACCAAUUCUCCAUCGUGGCAUGUCCAUCCUAUAUACUGCAGGUAUAAUGAUGUUAAUUCUAAGCGCAAUUGCCCAUUUUUGCGUACUGUGUGGUUCUGAUGAAACUUGCAAUGUGCAGUAAUGUGGUGAUCGAAG